rnacentral:rRNA from 1 species
AACGAACGCUGGCGGCGCGCCUAAUACAUGCAAGUCGAGCGAGAAGACGUAGCAAUACGUUUGUAAAGCGGCGAACGGGUGAGGAAUGCAUGGGUAACCUACCCUCGAGUGGGGAAUAACUAGCCGAAAGGUUAGCUAAUACCGCGUACGCUCCUUGGACUUCGGUUCAGGGAGGAAAGCGAUACCGUGGGUAUCGCGCUCUUGGAUGGGCUCAUGUCCUAUCAGCUUGUUGGUGAGGUAACGGCUCACCAAGGCUUCGACGGGUAGCUGGUCUGAGAGGACGAUCACCCAGACUGGGACUGAGACACGGCCCAGACUCCUACGGGAGGCAGCAGUCGGGAAUUUUGCGCAAUGGACGAAAGUCUGACGCAGCAACGCCGCGUGAGGGAUGACGG